UACGUAGGGGGCAAGCGUUGUCCGGAAUUAUUGGGCGUAAAGAGCGCGUAGGCGGUCCGAUAAGUCGGCUGUGAAAGUCAGGGGCUCAACCCUUGGAAGCCGGCCGAUACUGUCGGACUAGAGUCCGGAAGAGGAGAGUGGAAUUCCUGGUGUAGCGGUGAAAUGCGCAGAUAUCAGGAAGAACACCCGUGGCUAAGGCGGCUCUCUAGUACGGUACUGACGCUGAGACGCGAAAGCGUGGGGAGCGAACAGG
rnacentral:rRNA from 1 species